UCUAUAAGGAUCAAAAUACCAAGUUUUCAUCAAAAUCAGGAAUGAUGCGCAUGGAACUUUUCUGAACAUUGGUUGAAUUGGGACGGACUGACCCUUUCACAUUUUGCUAAUUGUGUACAGGCUGUGUUUUUAAGCCUGUUUAUAAAGAGCAUGCUGUUGCAGCAUUAACAGUUAACAGUUGUUAACAAUUAAUACUUUAUUUGUACUAGCAGUAAUUUCUGUAUGUUAUAUCUUAAAAUAACAGGAAGAUUGCAGAGAAUAUCAGUCCAGGGGAGUGGUCUGAAAUGAAUGGCUUUGAGUUGGAGGGGUUUCCAAGCCAAGACUUUGAGGUUGACUGUGGCAUCUACAUGUUGAUGUUAGACAUGCCGAAAUUGCGGAAAUGGUGGUGCCUGCUGCUAAUGGAAAACUUCGAUCUCCGAAGUUAUGGGAAGGUAUUUGCACACUGGACAAAGGAAUCAGAGGCUGUGCUGAGAGGUGAACAUGCACCUGUAUUCAGACUAAGAAAGCGCAAAUCUGUGGAACUUAGCCUGAAACCAGCAGAAGGGAUGUGCUGGAUGGAGACAACAUAGAAUCCAAGGAGCCAUUCCUCUUUGGUUUUCAGGUCCAAGAGGACAUGGAAUUAUUUUUACAGGCCUGUGUUGACCAGCGGGGCCUUCGGAUUAAUGCUGUCUGUUAUAAGAAUGAUUAAAUUACUGGCACAUGA